rnacentral:rRNA from 1 species
AUUGAACGCUGGCGGCAGGCCUAACACAUGCAAGUCGAGCGGAGCGGCGGACGGGUGAGUAAUGCCUAGGAAUCUGCCUGGUAGUGGGGGAUAACGUCCGGAAACGGGCGCUAAUACCGCAUACUAUCAGAUGAGCCUAGGUCGGAUUAGCUAGUGGGUGGGGUAAAGGCCUACCAAGGCGACGAUCCGUAACUGGUCUGAGAGGAUGAUCAGUCACCUUGGAAUUGAGACACGGUCCGGACUCGUACGGGAGGCGGAGGUGGGGAAUAUUGCACAAUGGGUGCAAUCCUGAUGAAGCCAUGCCGCGUGUAUGAAGAAGGCCUUCGGGUUGUAAAGUACUUUCAGCGGGGAGGCGUUACCCGCAGAAGAAGCACCGGCUAACUCCGUGCCAGCAGCCGCGGUAAUUC